rnacentral:rRNA from 1 species
UACGUAGGGUGCAAGCGUUAAUCGGAAUUACUGGGCGUAAAGCGUGCGCAGGCGGUUAUGCAAGACAGAUGGGAAAUCCCCGGGCUCAACCUGGGAACUGCAUUUGUGACUGCAUGGCUAGAGUACGGUAGAGGGGGAUGGAAUUCCGCGUGUAGCAGUGAAAUGCGUAGAUAUGCGGAGGAACACCGAUGGCGAAGGCAAUCCCCUGGGCCUGUACUGACGCUCAUGCACGAAAGCGUGGGGAGCAAACAGG